ACACACACUUCUUCACACAUGCUCUCCUGCACGCUGACAAACACUACGGCCUGCACAUGACUCUGCUCUCCGAACCCUGUGGAACAGAUGGUUCUUGAUCUUCAUCCGUGGACUUGAACAGGUCUUCAGAAAUAUCACUAAUACAAGAAGAUAAGAAAGAUACAUCUGGUUCUUUAAUGUUGUCACCAAGAAAGAAGUGAUGGAACAAAUGUCUUUGAGUGAGUCAGUUCCUGAAGGUGAACAUUUUUAAUCAUUAAUACAAGCCCACAUGAGGAACAUUAAUCAGGUUAAAUACCAAACUUUUUCCAAUAUUUUCACUCAACAAGACACACUAUCAGAUGUUUGAUUGUAGCAAGAGUUAAAAAUAUAGAUUGCUCACCAUCUUAUUAGUUUUGUUUAUUGUUCUUGUUACUAGAAAUGUCACUGAAAUGUAGGACAGAAAGAGAACACGCCUCGUUUUAACCCUUAUCACUGCAUCGUGAUCACGUAGAAUUUACGAAUCAAGUUCACAGUACACGUCCACACUAAGGUCUCAUUUAAUUUAGAACUCGAAUUGAACUCACUGUUUCAGCAGAUCGCCGAGUUCUUCAUAAAGCAUCCUGUUCAAUAAUUCAUUCAUUCAUUCAUACAUCAAUUAAAACAUUUUAUUUAUUUUUACUUAACUCCAGACUGCAGUCAGGGUUUGACUCCACAGGAUUUGACACUCAAAUAAUCUCUCAGACCUUAUCUGUGGUUGUGUGCAAAAGUUGUAUCCCCACUGUUCUUUGAUUAGCAUCACUAUUUUGCAAUUUAUCUCUAAAUGUUUUUUUUUUUCCAGAAGCCAUUGUUAAAGACUCAGAAAGAGGAAAGAUGUUUAUUUCACAAUCAGAACAUUUGGAUCUCGUGUCAUUUUUUGUUCUUGCAUUAUUAAUAUGUUACACUCACUGUUGGAACAUUUGUGAAAUUUAACACAUGAAAUUAACGCACUGGUGUGAAGAAAAAUGAAUCCACCUUCUUCACCGUGUCUCGUUCUUUAGAUAAAAAUUGGGUCUAAAGUACAUCUGUGAAGUUCUGAUGGGAUGCGAUCCAUAUUUCAACACUAUUAUUAAUAAUCUUUUUUUUAUUUUCAGGAAAGUUGUUAAUAUAUAAUGACAAAAAAAAAUUACCAUACAGUGAGAUGUGUGUUCGUGUAAAUUCUCAGCAUUAAACACUGAAUAAAAAAAGUGCUGAAAGCAUUUUUUUAAACAAGGACUUACGUGAAUUUAUAGCAAAUGAAAGAAAACAGUGAAAAAGAACAAAAGCAAGAAGAGAGAGAGAGAAGGAUGGAGAGACCUUUAGUGACUGAUGUAAAACUGAGGAAAUUAAACUGUCCUGUUUGGCUUUUAUUCUUUCACUUUUUAAACAUUUUUGUUUUGUGUUCUUCCCUUUUCCUGUAAAAUGCUGCAUCAAGUGAAGUUUUAAGACAUUCAGAAGAGGAACAAGUGUGUGUGUGUGUGUGUGUGUGUGUGUGUGUGUGUGUGUGUGUGUGUGUGUGUGUGUGAGAGAGAGAUAGUGAGAGAUGUGAUAUUUAAAAUGUUGUUGUUGUUUACAGGUGCUGCUCUCCCUCUGCGCUAUAGACUCUUCUCUUCGAGUAUUUGACAGACUGUGUGUGACACUCGCUCUCACUGGGUGUCAGUUUGUCAAAUACCCCAAGAGAGGAGUCACUACUCACCCAGAGACCCCGCCGGGCGUGUUUGUGUGUGUAUGUGCUGAUUAUGAUGAUGAUGAUGAUGAUGAUGAUGAUGAUGUGUGUUUUUUGUUUACCUGUGAGUUGUGAUUGUUAAUAUUAUAGAGACCGACACUGGAAUUUUAAUCAUGAGCUCUCACAAAUAAAAAAAGAAAGAAUUAA